AGAGUUUGAUCCUGGCUCAGAUUGAACGCUGGCGGCAGGCCUAACACAUGCAAGUCGAGCGGAUGAAGGGAGCUUGCUCCCUGAUUUAGCGGCGGACGGGUGAGUAAUGCCUAGGAAUCUGCCUGGUAGUGGGGGAUAACGUUCCGAAAGGAACGCUAAUACCGCAUACGUCCUACGGGAGAAAGCAGGGGACCUUCGGGCCUUGCGCUAUCAGAUGAGCCUAGGUCGGAUUAGCUAGUUGGUGAGGUAAUGGCUCACCAAGGCGACGAUCCGUAACUGGUCUGAGAGGAUGAUCAGUCACACUGGAACUGAGACACGGUCCAGACUCCUACGGGAGGCAGCAGUGGGGAAUAUUGGACAAUGGGCGAAAGCCGGAUCCAGCCAUGCCGCGUGUGUGAAGAAGGUCUUCGGAUUGUAAAGCACUUUAAGUUGGGAGGAAGGGCAUUAACCUAAUACGUUAGUGUUUUGACGUUACCGACAGAAUAAGCACCGGCUAACUUCGUGCCAGCAGUCGCGGUAAUACGAAGGGUGCAAGCGUUAAUCGGAAUUACUGGGCGUAAAGCGCGCGUAGGUGGUUCGUUAAGUUGGAUGUGAAAGCCCCGGGCUCAACCUGGGAACUGCAUCCAAAACUGGCGAGCUAGAGUACGGUAGAGGGUGGUGGAAUUUCCUGUGUAGCGGUGAAAUGCGUAG
rnacentral:rRNA from 1 species